GACGAACGCUGGCGGCGUGCCUAACACAUGCAAGUCGAACGGAGAUAUGAUUUCGGUUAUAUCUUAGUGGCGAACGGGUGAGUAACGCGUGAGCAACCUGACCUUCAGAGGGGGAUAACACUUGGAAACAGGUGCUAAUACCGCAUAAGACCACGACCCGACAUCGGGAUGCGGUCAAAGGAGCAAUCCGCUGAGGGAGGGCUCGCGUCCCAUUAGAUAGAUGGCGGGGUAACGGCCCACCAUGUCGACGAUGGGUAGCCGAGCUGAGAGGCUGAUCGGCCACACUGGAACUGAGACACGGUCCAGACUCCUACGGGAGGCAGCAGUGGGGAAUAUUGGGCAAUGGGCGCAAGCCUGACCCAGCAACGCCGCGUGAGGGAAGAAGGCCUUCGGUUGUAAACCUCUGUCCUUGGUGACGAAACAAAUGACGGUAGCCAAGGAGGAAGCCCCGGCUAACUACGUGCCAGCAGCCGCGGUAA
rnacentral:rRNA from 1 species